rnacentral:Y_RNA from 1 species
GGCUGGUCCGAGUGCAGUGGUGUUUAUAACUAAUUGAUCACAACCAGUUACAGAUUUCUUUGUUCCUUCUCCACUCCCACUGCUUCACUUGACUAGCCUAAA